rnacentral:rRNA from 1 species
AGAAUCAACGCUGGCGGCGUGCCUAACACAUGCAAGUCGAUCGAGAAAGUGGAGCAAUCCAUGAGUAAAGAGGCGCACGGGUGAGUAACACGUGAAUUAUCUACCUCCGAGUGGGGAAUAACUGAGAGAAAUCUUAGCUAAUACCGCAUAACACUUACGAGUCAAAGCAGCAAUGCGCUUGGAGAGGAGUUCGCGGCCGAUUAGUUAGUUGGCGGGGUAAUGGCCCACCAAGACGAUGAUCGGUA